ACGAACGCUGGCGGCGUGCUUAACACAUGCAAGUCGAACGGAAAGGCCCUGCUUUUGUGGGGUGCUCGAGUGGCGAACGGGUGAGUAACACGUGAGUAACCUGCCCUUGACUUUGGGAUAACUUCAGGAAACUGUGGCUAAUACCGGAUAGGAGCUCCUGCUUCAUGGUGGGGGUUGGAAAGUUUCGGCGGUUGGGGAUGGACUCGCGGCUUAUCAGCUUGUUGGUGGGGUAGUGGCUUACCAAGGCUUUGACGGGUAGCCGGCCUGAGAGGGUGACCGGCCACAUUGGGACUGAGAUACGGCCCAGACUCCUACGGGAGGCAGCAGUGGGGAAUAUUGCACAAUGGGCGGAAGCCUGAUGCAGCAACGCCGCGUGCGGGAUGACGGCCUUCGGGUUGUAAACCGCUUUCGCCUGUGACGAAGCGUGAGUGACGGUAAUGGGUAAAGAAGCACCGGCUAACUACGUG
rnacentral:rRNA from 1 species